AUUUCUUAAAAGCAGACAUCUACCUCCUGUUGAACAGGUUUUUAUGUAACUGAUUUUUUUCUUGACGUGGACUGAAGUUAUGAGGGUUUCUCGUUGUCCUCUGAUCAGACACUCAAACACCCGGACUGAAGAGGAAGACGAGAGAAGAGCAGCUUGGUCUCUGCCAGUGUUUCCUCGACACACGAAGGUGGAAAGAGUCUUUAAUGGACCUGAAGAGUUCAGCAGUGAACUAUGGAACAGGUUGUUGAAGACUCCAGCCUCAGGGACUGGGAGGUGAUCGGUUCUGGGGGUUUUGGACAAAUCUACAAAGCCAGGCAUCGUCAGUGGGGCUGUGACGUGGCCGUUAAACUGCUUCUUCAGGGCCAGGGGACCGAGAAGUCUUUGCUGCGUGAGAUCAAGAUGAUGCGUCAAGCCCCCAACCCGUAUGUCAUGGCCGUCCGAGGGAUCUUCAAGGGUCAGACGCCCUCUGGUGGGUCCAGACAGCUUGGUGUGGUCAUGGAUCUCAUGGAGACAGGAUCAUUGGCCUCCCUACAGGAAGCAUUGGAGGGUCCUCCACCCUGGCCGCUGGUCUUCAGACUGGCUCACCAAGUGGCUCUGGGUAUAAACUUCCUCCACACUCUGCCCCGACCCGUACUCCACCAGGACCUGAAGCCCCAAAACGUGCUGCUGGACGACGCUCUCAAUGUCAAGAUUACAGAUUUUGGCCUUGCCCGGAUUUCCUGCAGCGUCACGCAGGUUUCCAAGGACAGUGAAACAGUAGGAGGGACGUAUGCUUACAUGCCACCAGAGGCUUUUGAUUUAUCGUACAAACCUACAAGAGCCUUUGAUAUCUACAGUUAUGGGAUCCUCCUUUGGUCCAUUGCCACAGGGAAACAACCAUAUGAGUAUGCAAUACGCGAAAUGAUAAAGUUACGCAUCCCAGAAGGAGACCGUCCACUGCCGGAUGAUAUCAGGGGCGAUGCUGCCGGGUUGACGGAGCUGAAAAGACUGAUGGAGAGAUGCUGGGAUCAGGAACCUGAACGAAGGCCCAGAGCCCUUGAGUGUGCAACUGAGAUAGAACAGCUGUUCAAGAUGCACAAAGAUGCAAUUUCUGACGCUGUCUAUGAAGUGCAGAACAAACUGAAACAAGGCAUGGCAGCAGGAAAUAAGGAUCCAUUUGCUGAGGAUUCAGUGGAGGGGAUCCAAUCGGCCCUGGGAGAAGUGGCUCUGCUUGCUGUGGACCCUGUCAGGGCGCAGAGGCGUGAUCUGAUGAGAUAUGUCUGUGAACUGGAACUGGACACAAACACAGUGCACAGACACCUCAAACUGUCUGACAACAACAGGAAGGUGACCCGUGUGAGAGAGUAUCAGCCAUACCCUGAUCAUCCAGAGAGGUUUGACUCCUGGUGGCCUCAGCUGCUGUGUAGAGAUGGUCUGACUGGUCGCUGUUACUGGGAGGUCCAGAGGAGAGGAAGGGUUGAAAUAUCAGUGAGUUACAGAGGAAUCAGACGGAAAGGAAACAGUAGAGACUGUUUGUUAGGUUGUAAUGGUCAGUCCUGGAGUCUGUACUGCUCUGAUGAUCGUGGUUACUCUGUCUGUCACAAUACCAGAGUAACAGUCCUCCCGUCCUCCUCUGUCUCUAACAGAGUAGCAGUGUAUGUGGACUGUCCUGCUGGCUCUCUGUCCUUCUACACAGUCUCCUCUGACUCACUGAUCCACCUCCACACCUUCAACACCACAUUCACUCAGCCUCUCUAUCCUGGGUUUAUGGUCUGGUCAGUUGGUUCCUCAGUGUCUCUGUGUCCUCUGUAGGAGGAGACAACUUCCUGUCCUGUGGUGUAAAUGUUGAUGGAGGACGAGGUUCACAUUUGUCUCUGAUUGUGUCUUUAAUGUCAGAAAUCUUCUUCUCUGUUGAAAUGAUCUCCUCUGGGAUGAAAACUAGUUCUGUAUGAACUGUGUUGACUUUGAUUUAUUUCCAUCUAGGUUCAAAAAUAAUAAAUAUAAAUAACUAGUGCUGUCAAACAAUAACAUUUAAUCACAAUUAACGUCACAUUGUUAUCUAUUCUAAAUGUCCCUUGAUUUCUUUUUGUCACAUUAUUUUUGUUUUUAUUUUAUCUUAUCAACAUGGAAAAGGGGAUUGGCUCGCUUUGAGCAAACGUUUUGAUUUUCG